rnacentral:misc_RNA from 1 species
GAUGAAGAACGUAGCGAAAUGCGAUAAGUAGUGUGAAUUGCAGAAUUCAGUGAAUCAUCGAAUCUUUGAACGCACAUUGCGCCCCUUGGUAUUCCAAGGGGCAUGCCUGUUCGAGCGUCAUUUGUACCUUCAAGCUUUGCUUGGUGUUGGGUGUUUGUCUCGCCUUUGCGUGUAGACUCGCCUUAAAAUAAUUGGCAGCCGGCGUAUUGAUUUCGGAGCGCAGUACAUCUCGCGCUUUGCACUCAUAACGACAGCGUCCAAAAGUACAUUUUACACUCUUGACCUCGGAUCAGGUAGGGAUACCCGCUGAACUUAAGCAUAUCAAUAAGCGGAGGA